UACCUGGACCUGAAUCUCACGGCGGGUGGAUGCUAUUGAGCUCCUGCCUGUAACUGCCGCUGUGUUGUGAUGCUGGGGAGUCCACAGACCGUAGAAAGCCCGUUUUCCCCUUUUCUUUCCCCGUUUUCUCCGAACUGUUCAGCACCGCUGCUAACAACUUACAAGAUCCUUUCACACAGUAAUGUGAAUGAAUGACCUCAACUGAUGGUCCUUUAGGUAACCACUGUAUUUGCUCCUCGAGAACAAGACUGAGAGCAGCUUUAAGCCCUAGGCAUUCAAACUACAGAAACGUGAAAGAAAACACAAUCCAUUCUGAAUGUUCAUACCAUGCUGUGAUCCACACGGAAAAAGGCCAGUUGGCAUGGCUUAUUCAGGAGAUUUGCAAAUGCAAUGAAGGCA